GGAAGUAAGUCGUAACAAGGUCUCCGUUGGUGAACCAGCGGAGGGAUCAUUACAGGACUCGCAAGACUCCUACAACCCUGUGAACUUAACUAUAAGCACGUUGCUUCGGCGCGUGUCUCGGAGGGGGUUCUCCCUCCCCGAGACGCUAAACCCGCCGGCAGCCUACUAUACUCUGUCUCUUUGCGUUGGCAUCUCGAGUACAAUCAAACAAGUUAAAACUUUCAACAACGGAUCUCUUGGUUCUG
rnacentral:misc_RNA from 1 species